UAGCAUGCUGUUAGCAUUAAAGAAAACCCAAUCGGGGCAGGCGGGGAAGCACUCCGGCCUCCUCUCAGCUUGGGGCGUCUCGCUCUCUCCCCAGCCCCUUCUCCCAGCUGGGUGUGAGCCCCUCUGCUCCUGGCUCCUCCGCUAUCCUGUGCUUCCUCAGGCCUCUGCAUCUCACCCCCCCCCCCCAUGCCCUCUGUCUUCCUCAGUGGCUCUUCUCUCUCUCACAGCUUCCAGGAUCUCCGCUGGUCCCCAGGGAGCACUUUGACCUCUGCUCCCCCCUCAAGUGCUGUGGAUCGAGCCUCCCCCCCCCACCCACCAUUCCACUAAAGGGGCUGCUGAUCAACAGGCCCCACCCAGCCAGGUAAGAAAGGCCCUUGGCACCUCCUGCCCCCACUCCCACCCCAAAGCCCCCAGUCCCAUCUGGGGCCCUGAGCAGGUCUGGCCCAGCCCCACCCUGUCCCGGUGGCCCUCGCCCUGGGUCUGGCAAUGCCUGACUCUUUGCCCCUCCCCUGCAGCUCAGCAGGGCCCUUUGCCCUCUUCUUCCUGCCAAGUCAGGGGGCCCAAGCUGCUCCCUGCCCCCUGCCCAGGCCCUCACAAGGCCAGGCAGACCCUGAGGGCUCCCCCACCCCAAGCUGGGAUCAGGACCUUGGACAGAAAAAGAGAUGGUCCCCUAGAGAGCGUCUCUGGGACUCUCCCUCUGGCUGCCUCGUCCUGGGAAUUGAAAGCACCAAACAGAGUGGCUGUGGAGUCUCAGCUGGGUGGCCUUAGUCAAGCUACCUUCCCUCUCUGGGCCUUGGUUUCCUCAUCUGUGAAGCAGAGUUAUGCCUAGCUUCCUUCCAGGGUUCGUCUCAACAUUAUCUGAACAUCUGCGUAUAAAACUGCAGUACAGUGCCUGGUUGUUAGGAUUAGAGCUUAGGAGCCUUUGGGGAGGCAGUCCCUGUAGCCCCUGGGCCCCCUCCCCCCACCCCUGCUUGGUGGGAGGUUGGUUGGCCCAGGUCUCCCCAGGCCAUCUUUACAAGUUAAUGAUCACAGGCCUUAUCAGAGCCUUUUACCGUUUAUAAAUUUAUAAAACAAAAGAGAAAUAAUAAAGCUCGUGGGUAAUUAGUAACCAGGUCAGCACUGCUGAGGAGAGGGGAGGCAUCGGGCUCAGACCCACCCAGUUCUCUGGGAGAUGGGGAGCCGGCCAAUGGAUGGGGGUACACAGGGAGGCCUCUAAUGGUGCCUGCUGGUGAGUUGUGGGGGCCUAACUAACACUGUGCAGGAAAGGGGAACCAGGUCCUGCUCCGAGGUUCCAUCUCGCUCAGGGACGAAGGAACAACGAGCAGAAAGGGCUGCCCUUCCCCACCAUCGGGAGAUAAAGCUAAAUUGAGGAGCUGUUCGCCUUCUAGAGAAUGACACAGGACCUACUUUGUCACUGACCACACUCCGACCCCCACCCCUGGCUGGCCUCAGGCCACCUUAGCCUUUCUUGACGAGCUCUACCGAGUUGCAACAUCAUCCGAAGGAAUGAAGCUCCGACAUUGAAAACGCGAACUACCUAGAGCUAGCAGUUUUCAAGGUGUCCGGCAGGUGUCGCUGUGGACCUCUCAAAAAGCUUCUGAACUGGUCUGCGGUCCCCUGGGGCGCCUGCGCGCAGUCUGAGACCUGCCCACCUAAUAACGGAGCGACGUGGACACGAUGAAGAGACUAAGGUGCCAAGGAAUAAAACAGUGGUCAAGAGCACGGACCCCACUCGUGGCUGCCUGGGUUUGAGCCUGGCUCUGCCACUUACCAGCUGUGUGACCUUGGGCCACUUGCUUAACAUCUCUGUGCCUCGGUUUCCUCUUCGCUGACGUGGAGGUGAAAAUACUAUCUGCCCCGUGAGUUGGCAGGAAGAUUAAUGAGAUAAUACACGGGGAGGCACUGUGAUGGGCACGUUGUAAGCACACCCCCCACCGGAAGAGUGUUGUCACGUGGUUGUGAACAUGAGUGCCCCCCUCCCCUUGGCCAGGCUUUCUCUUCUUUUGCAAAAGUUCUUCCCUUAAGAGGCCCUGUCGCCCAUCCCCUUUGACUGCUAAGCCCUGAUUCUGGCAUUCAAGGCCGUCCUUACCUCAACUCCACCCUCUAACCAGCCACACUAUCGGCCACUUCCGGGGCACGUCUGCAACUCUCACACCUACGCUCGUGCACAAGCUGUUUCCUCUACCUGGACACCUCCGCCUGUUAACCUGUCCUGAAGAUCCUCCCGGGCCUCCUUCUGACCCCUUCUGUUGCCAUUAGCAACAGAAGCCUUCACUAGCCAGCCUUCCCUAACCUCCCUGGAGCAGGACCAGGAUACCCCGGACUGAGGGUUAGAAAUGCAGGUUCCUGACUGCACAUUCAAAGGGUUUGAUUUUUAGUAGAUCUGGAGUGUGGCCCAAAUACGUAAGCCCUUAAAUAAAUAAAUAAAUAAACUUAAAAAAAAAAAAAAAGACACCACA